rnacentral:rRNA from 1 species
AACGAACGCUGGCGGCAUGCCUAACACAUGCAAGUCGAACGAUUGCCUUCGGGUGAUAGUGGCGCACGGGUGCGUAACGCGUGGGAAUCUGCCCUUAGGUUCGGAAUAACAGCUGGAAACGGCUGCUAAUACCGGAUGAUAUCGCGAGAUCAAAGAUUUAUCGCCUGAGGAUGAGCCCGCGUUGGAUUAGGUAGUUGGUGGGGUAAAGGCCUACCAAGCCGACGAUCCAUAGCUGGUCUGAGAGGAUGAUCAGCCACACUGGGACUGAGACACGGUCCAGACUCCUACGGGAGGCAGCAGUGGGGAAUAUUGGACAAUGGGCGCAAGCCUGAUCCAGCAAUGCCGCGUAAGUGAUGAAGGCCCUAGGGUUGUAAAGCUCUUUUACCCGGGAAGAUAAUGACUGUACCGGGAGAAUAAGCCCCGGCUAACUCCGUG